UGAAAGUGUAACAAUAAAAGAGAACAGAAAAGAGGGUCGUGAUCACAGAGAAGUUGGUCAUCUGCAGGAGGCACUAACCCAGAAAUCACAACUGACAUGUCUUCAGAAACAGCUUGUCACAGCUCUGAUGGACAACAUCAAGUUAAAACAUGAGAUACAUAAGUUGAGAGAAGACAACUCCUCCUGGAAUAACAUUCACAGACAAUGGCAAAGUUGUUUGCAACUGCAAGGGAAAGUGCUGGAGGCUGAAGAGAAACAUUUGAAGGAGUUAAAAGACUCAAUGGACAUCCUACAAGCAACUCACAGGUCCCUACAGAGUCUAUCUCUGACAAGAGCUGGAGGACAAGCAAUGAAGACACCACCUGAUGGAAACUGUCUGCUUACAAGUAGCUUAUGAUGAG